rnacentral:piRNA from 1 species
UGAAACAUAUACAAUUUAAGUAGAUACC